rfam:Tncinocarpus reesii 1704 hypothetical protein, mRNA
UAGAGACCUCCGAUUUGACACAACAUCCUGCAGAGAUGUUGUGUGGCCUGCAGUGUCA